rnacentral:rRNA from 1 species
GCAACUCGCCUGCAUGAAGUCGGAAUUGCUAGUAAUCGCGGAUCAGCAUGCCGCGGUGAAUACGUUCCCGGGCCUUGUACACACCGCCCGUCACACCAUGGGAGUCGGUAACACCCGAAGCCGAUAGUCUAACGAAAGAGGACGUCGUCGAAGGUGGGAUUGAUGACUGGGGUGAAGUCGUAACAAGGUACC